UACGUAGGGGGCUAGCGUUGUCCGGAAUCAUUGGGCGGAAAGAGCGUGUAGGCGGUUCGGUAAGUCCGCUGUGAAAGGCCAGGGCUCAACCCUGGAAUGCCGGUGGAUACUGUCGGGCUAGAGUCCGGAAGAGGCGAGUGGAAUUCCUGGUGUAGCGGUGAAAUGCGCAGAUAUCAGGAGGAACACCGGUGGCGAAGGCGGUUCUCUGGGCCUGUACUGACGCUGAGGAACGAAAGCGUGGGGAGCGAACAGG
rnacentral:rRNA from 1 species